rnacentral:rRNA from 1 species
GAUGAACGCUGGCGGCGUGCUUAACACAUGCAAGUCGAACGGAAAGGCCCAAGCUUGCUUGGGUACUCGAGUGGCGAACGGGUGAGUAACACGUGGGUGAUCUGCCCCGCACUUCGGGAUAAGCCUGGGAAACUGGGUCUAAUACCGGAUAGGACAGUGGUUUGGAUGCCAUUGUGGAAAGUUUUUUCGGUGUGGGAUGAGCUCGCGGCCUAUCAGCUUGUUGGUGGGGUAAUGGCCUACCAAGGCGUCGACGGGUAGCCGGCCUGAGAGGGUGUACGGCCACAUUGGGACUGAGAUACGGCCCCGACUCCUACGGGUGGCAGCAGUGGGGAAUGUUGCACAAUGGGCGCAAGCCUGAUGCAGCGCCGCCGCGUGGGGGAUGACGGCCUUCGGGUUGUAAACUCCUUUCGCUAGGGACGAAGCGUUAUGUGACGGUACCUAGAGAAGAAGCACCGGCUAACUACGUG